rnacentral:rRNA from 1 species
UACGUAGGGUGCAAGCGUUGUCCGGAAUUAUUGGGCGUAAAGAGCUCGUAGGCGGUCUGUCGCGUCGGAUGUGAAAGCCCUUGGCUUAACCGAGGAAGUGCAUCCGAAACUGGCGAGCUAGAGUACGAAAGAGGAUCGCGGAAUUCCCGGUGUAGAGGUGAAAUUCGUAGAUAUCGGGAGGAACACCGGUGGCGAAGGCGGCGAUCUGGGUCGAUACUGACGCUGAGGUGCGAAAGCGUGGGGAGCAAACAGG